GAUGAACGCUGGCGGCGUGCCUAAUACAUGCAAGUCGAACGAAGGUAGCAAUACCUUAGUGGCGAACGGGUGAGUAACACGUAGGUAACCUGCCUUUCAGUUGGGGAUAACCGAGGGAAACUUUGGCUAAUACCGAAUUCGUGCUUCGAAGGCAUCUUCGGAGCAUAAAAGGGGCCUUUAAAGCCUCGCUGAUUGAUGGACCUGCGGCGCAUUAGUUAGUUGGUGAGAUAACAGCCCACCAAGACGAGGAUGCGUAGCCGACCUGAGAGGGUGAACGGCCACACUGGAACUGAGACACGGUCCAGACUCCUACGGGAGGCAGCAGUAGGGAGUUUUCGGCAAGUGGGGGAAACCCUGACCGAGCAACGCCGCGUGAGUGAUGAAGGUC
rnacentral:rRNA from 1 species